rnacentral:tRNA from 4 species
GGGCCCAUAGCUCAACGGUUAGAGCAAUCGACUCAUAAUCGAUCGGUUCUAGGUUCAACUCCUAGUGGGCCCA